CACCGUGACGCGGAUCGAGUGGAAAGAGGUACACCCAUUUGUAUACCCAACGUGCAGGUAUUAUCUGUCCCCUUUUUUUUGGCC